CUCUAGGGGGACUGCCCCGGUUAACGGGGAGGAAGGUGGGGAUGACGUCAAGUCAUCAUGGCCUUUAUGUCCAGGGCUACACACGUGCUACAAUGGCCGGUACAAAGGGUCGCAAACGCGCGAGCGGAAGCUAAUCCCAAAAAGCCGGUCCCAGUUGGGAUCGCAGUCUGCAACUCGACUGCGUGAACGCGGAAUCGCUAGUAAUCGCGAAUCAGCAGGUCGCGGUGAAUACGUUCCCGGGUCCUGUACACACCGCCCGUCACACCACGAAAGCCGAUUGUACUUGAAGUCGCUGGGCUAACCCGUAAGGGAGGCAAGCGCCGAAGGUAUGGUUGGUGAUUGGGGUGAAGUCGUAACAAGGUAAAUCGCGA
rnacentral:rRNA from 1 species